rnacentral:rRNA from 1 species
CGGACGGGUGAGUAACGCGUGGGUAACCUACCCUGUACACACAGAUAACAUACCGAAAGGUAAUGCUAAUACGGGAUAAUAUAUUUGAGAGGCAUCUCUUGAAUAUCAAAGGUGAGCCAGUACAGGAUGGACCCGCGUCUGAUUAGCUAGUUGGUAAGGUAACGGCUUACCAAGGCGACGAUCAGUAGCCGACCUGAGAGGGUGAUCGGCCACAUUGGAACUGAGACACGGUCCAA